UACGAAGGGGGCUAGCGUUGUUCGGAAUUACUGGGCGUAAAGCGUGCGCAGGCGGCUUUGUUUGUCAGGCGUGAAAGCCCCGGGCUUAACCUGGGAACUGCGUUUGAUACGGCAGGGCUAGAGUUCGGGAGAGGAGAGUGGAAUUCCCAGUGUAGAGGUGAAAUUCGUAGAUAUUGGGAAGAACACCGGUGGCGAAGGCGGCUUCCUGGACCGACACUGACGCUGAGGCGCGAAAGCUAGGGGAGCAAACGGG
rnacentral:rRNA from 1 species